rnacentral:misc_RNA from 1 species
GAUGAAGAACGUAGUGAAAUGCGAUAAGUAAUGUGAAUUGCAGAAUUCAGUGAAUCAUCGAAUCUUUGAACGCACAUUGCGCCCCUUGGUAUUCCGAGGGGCAUGCCUGUUCGAGCGUCAUUAUAACCCCUCAAGCUCAGCUUGGUGUUGGGGCCUGCUGCACUGGCAGCCCUUAAAAUCAGUGGCGGCGCCAUCUGGCUCUAAGCGUAGUAAUUCUUCUCGCUAUGGAGUCCUGGUGGAUGCUUGCCAUCAACCCCCAAUUUUUCUAUGGUUGACCUCGGAUCAGGUAGGGAUACCCGCUGAACUUAAGCAUAUCAAUAAGCGUAGGA